rnacentral:rRNA from 1 species
AUUGCUUUUUUAUUGAGGGCUUGUGAAUGGUUAAAUGAGGUAUAUAUAAAAAUUAUAAGUGUGUUUUGAAGUUAAUUAGGUGGUGAAGAAUCCACUGUAAUAAUAUAAGACGGAAAGACCCCGAGAUCUUUACGUUUAUAAGUAUAAUUGUUUUGUUUGGGGUAAAUAUUGAUAGUUCAUUAAUUUUUGGAUCCUGUAGGAUAAAGGUUAAAGUUACCUCGGGGAUAACUGAGUAAAGUACAGGGAGAGGCCAUAUUGAUCUGUAAUGUUACUACCUCGAUGUUGGCUUAGAGUUACCUAUACGGAGUAGUAGUUGUAUAAGGUGGUCUGUUCGACCAUUAAAUCUCUAUGAGUUGAG